UAGACGCUACUUUGUAAAUUAGGGUUACAUGUCAAAGUUUUAGUGACUUAAUUUGCUGUUUAGGUAACCUGAUGCCAUUCCUAGGUAUACAGUGGGUAUGGUUGUGGAGAAGUUCCUCAGAUGUUUAAGUUUAUUAAAAGUAUAUUUCUUUACAUGUCAAAUUAAUGAUAGACUUCCACAGUGUUCAUUUUAGAGUACCAUUUGAGCUUAGAUUUUUGCGCAAUUACAGUACUUGGAUAUUUUCCAAGAGAUAGGAUAAUAAUAAUUGCUCCUUAGAUUUAGUGGGGAGGGACUUUGUGAUGACUUUAGGGUAGACAAGAAAAAUUUGGGAAAGACUAGAAAGACUAAAGAUGAAAGUGAGGCUCUGGCUCUGUUGAGUGUUUCCCACAGUAGGAAAAUAGGUUGCAUAUUUUUAUUGAACCUUUUUGAUCAGGUAUCUGUGGGGUUGUAAAACGUAACAUUUUAGAGCUUAAUAAAUAGAAAUAGAAAUCUCUAAUUGUAGCUUAUCCCAUUAAGUGAGAAAAAGAAAACAGGCCCAGAAGUGGUAAAAUGAGUUUGUUAGGGUAGUAAGUAAAGUGACAAAGCCAGAUCUUCGACCUGUGCUAUUGGCAUUAUACCAUUAUACUGUCUUCACUGGUCUUCUGCUUGGGGGGAAGGGGGGUCUUAGCUGCCACUGAAUUUCUGAGUAUCUUUCCUGAAAUGAUCACAUUGUCCUAUUUAUGGCUCACUUUUUGAAACUGUUUUGUUUUAGGUAGUCUCAAUUAGUAAGAGUUCUCUUGGAAAGAUUCUUUGGAACUAGUCAGCAAUGUUUGCGAUGGAACAAAGUAGUGUAUUUGUGCUGCAGAAUACUUGACAAUAAAAAAUAAAAAACCUUUAAGAGAAAGAUAAACUUAGAUGCUAAGGUAUUCUGUUUCCAGCCAUAAUUACCCCUGACUUCUGUGAAAAGUCUA